rnacentral:rRNA from 1 species
UACGUAGGGUGCAAGCGUUAAUCGGAAUUACUGGGCGUAAAGCGUGCGCAGGCGGUUCGGAAAGUGAGGUGUGAAAUCCCAGGGCUUAACCUUGGAACUGCGCUUCUAACUACCGGGCUAGAGUACGUCAGAGGGGGGUAGAAUUCCACGUGUAGCAGUGAAAUGCGUAGAGAUGUGGAGGAAUACCGAUGGCGAAGGCAGCCCCCUGGGUCAAGACUGACGCUCAUGCACGAAAGCGUGGGGAGCAAACAGG